rnacentral:rRNA from 1 species
GCGAGCGGCGGAUGGGUGAGUAACACGUGGGAACCUGCCCCAUAGUCUGGGAUACCACUUGGAAACAGGUGCUAAUACCGGAUAAGAAAGCAGAUCGCAUGAUCAGCUUUUAAAAGGCGGCGUAAGCUGUCGCUAUGGGAUGGCCCCGCGGUGCAUUAGCUAGUUGGUAAGGUAAAGGCUUACCAAGGCGAUGAUGCAUAGCCGAGUUGAGAGACUGAUCGGCCACAUUGGGACUGAGACACGGCCCAAACUCCUACGGGAGGCAGCAGUAGGGAAUCUUCCACAAUGGACGCAAGUCUGAUGGAGCAACGCCGCGUGAGUGAAGAAGGUUUUCGGAUCGUAAAGCUCUGUUGUUGGUGAAGAAGGAUAGAGGUAGUAACUGGCCUUUAUUUGACGGUAAUCAACCAGAAAGUCACGGCUAACUACGUGCCAGCAGCCGCGGUAAUACGUAGGUGGCAAGCGUUGUCCGGAUUUAUUGGGCGUAAAGCGAGCGCAGGCGGAAGAAUAAGUCUGAUGUGAAAGCCCUCGGCUUAACCGAGGAACUGCAUCGGAAACUGUUUUUCUUGAGUGCAGAAGAGGAGAGUGGAACUCCAUGUGUAGCGGUGGGAAUGCGUAGAUAUAUGGAAGAACACCAGUGGCGAAGGCGGCUCUCUGGUCUGCAACUGACGCUGAGGCUCGAAAA